rnacentral:rRNA from 1 species
AAAUUGACGGGGGCCCGCACAAGCGGUGGAGCAUGUGGUUUUAAUUCGAAGCAACGCGAAGAACCUUACCAGGUCUUGACAUCCCGAUGCUAUUUCUAGAGAUAGAAAGUUACUUCGGUACAUCGGUGACAGGUGGUGCAUGGUUGUCGUCAGCUCGUGUCGUGAGAUGUUGGGUUAAGUCCCGCAACGAGCGCAACCCCUAUUGUUAGUUGCCAUCAUUCAGUUGGGCACUCUAGCGAGACUGCCGGUAAUAAACCGGAGGAAGUGGGGAUGACGUCAAAUCAUCAUGCCCCUUAUGACCUGGGCUACACACGUGCUACAAUGGUUGGUACAACGAGUUGCGAGUCGGUGACGGCGAGCUAAUCUCUUAAAGCCAAUCUCAGUUCGGAUUGUAGGCUGCAACUCGCCUACAUGAAGUCGGAAUCGCUAGUAAUCGCGGAUCAGCACGCCGCGGUGAAUACGUUCCCGGGCCUU